rnacentral:rRNA from 1 species
ACACUCCUACGGGAGGCAGCAGUGGGGAAUUUUGGACAAUGGGCGAAAGCCUGAUCCAGCAAUGCCGCGUGUGUGAAGAAGGCCUUCGGGUUGUAAAGCACUUUUGUCCGGAAAGAAAUCCUUGGCUCUAAUACAGUCGGGGGAUGACGGUACCGGAAGAAUAAGCACCGGCUAACUACGUGCCAGCAGCCGCGGUAAUACGUAGGGUGCGAGCGUUAAUCGGAAUUACUGGGCGUAAAGCGUGCGCAGGCGGUUUGCUAAGACCGAUGUGAAAUCCCCGGGCUCAACCUGGGAACUGCAUUGGUGACUGGCAGGCUAGAGUAUGGCAGAGGGGGGUAGAAUUCCACGUGUAGCAGUGAAAUGCGUAGAGAUGUGGAGGAAUACCGAUGGCGAAGGCAGCCCCCUGGGCCAAUACUGACGCUCAUGCACGAAAGCGUGGGGAGCAAACAGGAUUAGAAACCCCGGUAGUCCCAUGAU